GAUGAAGAACGUAGCGAAAUGCGAUAAGUAAUGUGAAUUGCAGAAUUCAGUGAAUCAUCGAGUCUUUGAACGCACAUUGCGCCCCCUGGUAUUCCGGGGGGCAUGCCUGUCCGAGCGUCAUUGCUGCCCUCAAGCACGGCUUGUGUGUUGGGCCUCCGUCCUCCUCCCGGGGGACGGGCCCGAAAGGCAGCGGCGGCACCGCGUCCGGUCCUCGAGCGUAUGGGGCUUCGUCACCCGCUCUUGUAGGCCCGGCCGGCGCUUGCCGACACAUCAAUCUUUUUUCCAGGUUGACCUUGGAUCAGGUAGGGAUACCCGCUGAACUUAAGCAUAUCAAUAAGCGGAGGA
rnacentral:misc_RNA from 1 species